CUGGGUCCGACGACCUCCGGCCGCAUGGUCUGGUGGUGGAAAGUUUUUUCGGUUGGGGAUGGGCUCGCGGCCUAUCAGCUUGUUGGUGGGGUAGUGGCCUACCAAGGCGACGACGGGUAGCCGGCCUGAGAGGGCGACCGGCCACACUGGGACUGAGACACGGCCCAGACUCCUACGGGAGGCAGCAGUGGGGAAUAUUGCGCAAUGGGCGGAAGCCUGACGCAGCGACGCCGCGUGGGGGAUGACGGCCUUCGGGUUGUAAACCUCUUUCAGCAGGGACGAAGUUGACGUGUACCUGCAGAAGAAGCGCCGGCUAACUACGUGCCAGCAGCCGCGGUAAUACGUAGGGCGCAAGCGUUGUCCGGAAUUAUUGGGCGUAAAGAGCUCGUAGGUGGCUGGUCGCGUCUGCCGUGAAAGCCCGCAGCUUAACUGCGGGUCUGCGGUGGAUACGGGCCGGCUAGAGGUAGGUAGGGGCAAGUGGAAUUCCUGGUGUAGCGGUGAAAUGCGCAGAUAUCAGGAGGAACACCGGUGGCGAAGGCGGCUUGCUGGGCCUUACCUGACGCUGAGGAGCGAAAGCGUGGGGAGCGAACAGGAUUAGAUACCCUGGUAGUCCACGCUGUAAACGUUGGGCGCUAGGUGUGGGGGUCUUCCACGAUCUCCGUGCCGGAGCUAACGCAUUAGCGCCCCGCCUGGGGAGUACGGCCGCAAGGCUAAAACUCAAAGAUUGACGGGGGCCCGCACAAGCGGCGGACAUGUUGCUUAUUCGACGCACGCGAUUACCAAGGUUUGACAUCACCCGGCUAAGGUUCCCUUUUGGGCUGGGUGACGGCAUGGCUGUCGUCAGCUCUGUCUGAAGUGGGUACCCGACAGCGACCCUUGCUCGUNCCGCACUAGGGAUGGGGAUGCGGAUCGA
rnacentral:rRNA from 1 species